GUACUUACUGAGCAGAGGAGAUACUAUGGUCAUGAAGGUGGUUUCCUCAGGGUGAGGCUUCGCCAUUUUUGUAGAUACCCUGACUCCUGCGAUUUCCCCAAAUGUGGGAAACUUGACUGCAUAAUCUGUGGUAGUGGGGGUUCGUGCUCUCUCCUG